rnacentral:rRNA from 1 species
UACGUAGAGUGCAGGCGUUAAUCGGAAUUAUUGGGCGUAAAGAGCUCGUAGGCGGUUUGUCGCGUCUGCUGUGAAAACCGGAGGCUCAACCUCCGGCCUGCAGUGGGUACGGGCAAACUAGAGUGCGGUAGGGGAGAUUGGAAUUCCUGGUGUAGCGGUGGAAUGCGCAGAUAUCAGGAGGAACACCGAUGGCGAAGGCAGAUCUCUGGGCCGUAACUGACGCUGAGGAGCGAAAGCGUGGGGAGCGAACAGG